GAUGAACGCUGGCGGCGUGCCUAACACAUGCAAGUCGAGCGAUUCUCCUCGGAGAAGAGCGGCGGACGGGUGAGUAACGCGUGGGUAACCUGCCCUGUACACACGGAUAACAUACCGAAAGGUAUGCUAAUACGAGAUAAUAUGCUUUUAUCGCAUGGUAGAAGUAUCAAAGCUCCGGCGGAUACAGGAUGGACCCGCGUCUGAUUAGCAAGUUGGUAAGGUAACGGCUUACCAAGGCGACGGUCAGUAGCCGACCUGAGAGGGUGAUCGGCCACAUUGGAACUGAGACACGGUCCAAACUCCGACGGGAGGCAGCGGUGGGGAAUAUUGCACAAUGGGCGAAAGCCUGAUGCAGCAACGCCGCGUGAGCGAUGAAGGCCUUCGGGUCGUAAAGCUCUGUCCUCAAGGAAGAUAAUGACGGUACUUGAGGAGGAAGCCCCGGCUAACUACGUGCCAGCCGCCGCCGUAA
rnacentral:rRNA from 1 species